UUCCGGGUCUCCUCCUCUCCCAUCUUCGCUAUCUUCGCUGCGCAAUCGCGACCGUGUGGGGAGCUGAUCGGGAGUGAGCGGGCCGACGGCGUAGGGAGGUUGUGGACGUCGACUUCGGUCGUACCUACUGAGUCCGCAUGUGGCCGUGGAGAAGUCGUCGUCAAUCGGGGAAGGCGCGAGCACCGUCUGCGGGCGGAGUUCUGACUGAAUUCUCGGGCGAAUUCCUCGCCGGAGUGCCGUCACCGCUGCGGGAUCCGCAUCGUCGUGGACACCGCUUCCGAAGUCGCAUCCGCCUCCGGUAUGUCGUUGAUCGUGUCCACCUAACUCUUAUAAUCGUGUAGCCUCGUUCGGGUAGGGGAUUAGAGUACUGGUUUGCGUAGUCUGUUGUCACCGGCGGGGUUUCGCCGUCACGGCGCCACCGUCCACUGUGCUGGUGGGCUACCGGGGGAAGAAGGUGCGCGGACCGUUGAUCCUUUACGUGACAGCCAAGAUUAGAUAAUCGCGCACCUCUUCACGCGAUCAAUUAGUGUCGUAGAUCUAAAUUCCGAUGAGUGUGAGUCGAUCCCGGUUAUGUAGAACUCGGACCGUUGAUCGCUGACCCGGUGGUUGGUGUUGUGUACCGCUUUUCCUCCCUCGACGGUCUAAUCUUGGCGCUCUGUUUGUGAUUAGACGACAAGCUUUGCGCGAUAACGCUUCAUUGUGGCGAAUUUGCUAAAGAAACCCCGAGAAAAGCAGUAACUAACCUGCAGUCCAUCCUAGGUAUGAACUGAGUCUAGGAACUUUUGCGGGUUCACCCUCGAGCUAUUCUGCAUUACUGUGCGUAGUCCAUAACUCAAUGAAAAUUGAAUAAAUAAAUACAGAAAAUACUUUCUAGUAUAAAAUUAAAUCUAGAACUUGUUUAAUCCCUAGAAAAUUCAUCUUAGCUCCUUUUAACUCCAUUCCAGUUGCAAUAAUUUGGUAUUAAUAUUGUUCAUCACUUAGUAACUCUGUUUAGACAUGAAACAUAGACUAAAAUUGUUUACUUAAUUUAGCCCGUACCAAGCACUUAAUAACUUCGAAAAAUUGUAACUCGAUAACCGUAACUUCGGAUUUAGUGAUUUUUGUUCCUACGAUCUCGUUACAAUGCGUAGAAUAUUAUCAUGCAUUAUGUUCUGUUGUUUGGUGUGAUGUUAAUUUCUGCUAUCCCGUGCUUGUUUGUAUUGUUGCGAUAGACGAGCAAGCCACAGAGGAUCUAGGUGUUCAGCAGGUGGAGACUGUUGAGCAGGAGCUCGUUGAAGGCAAGUUGUGCCCUUAAUCACUUCUUUUACCCAAUAAUGUCCUUUUAAUCAUUAUGAUCUACAUAAGUUAAUUUUGAUGGGACCCAAUAGGUUACCCUAGUUGGACUAUCUUUAUAUCUUGCUUACCACUGAACUUUUGGGUAGUACUUGCUAUUGCUUUAUGUGGUUUUGGGUAUUGAGACACACAUUAUUCAUGAUCAUGCUUUUAUUAUCAGUUUGUUAUUUACUGUUCAUGAUAAGAUCAUUAUGUUAAUUGGAACAUGGAGCAACCACCCGGGAAAAUAGUGCUACCAUAAGGGUGAUAUGGAACGCCCUUGGCUGACUAUUUAGAAAAGCUAGUGGAGGACUAUCUUACCCGAAAGGGGCAAGGGCAGUAGGGGAGUGGUCAGCGUAGGGAGGUCCUUGGGUUGAUUUUGCUGCGAUGACGGUCAGGCGAGGGAUCCCUGCAUUGGAGCUUACCAGAACUGUAGCGGGUUUUCUGAAGCUAGUGGAACUUUGUAAAGGCCUUGUAGUGUUACCCAGACUCGCUUCCUUGGUAGAUGUGUAUGAGAAGUCGUGAUCCCUUGGCAUAUGGGUAACAUGACUUAUGGGUAAAGAUGUGCAACCUCUGCAGAGUGUAAAACUAGUAUAUCAGUCGUGCUCACGGUCAUGAGCGGUUAGAACCCUCACAUGAGUAAUUUAUGGAAUCAAAUUCAAUUUGUCAUUUACAUCGCAUUGUGGUUUAUUAUUAUUUUGAUCUCUUAUUACUCUAUUUUGUUAUUUACUUACAUUUAGUAACUGCUAAUAAAAUUUGACCAACUUAUUAAAAGCAAUGCUCAGCUUUACCCCUUGUUUGUUGAUCAGUCUUACACUUCACAUGAACUCCCACCUUUGGUGAGUUCAUGCACAUUAUUUCCCACAACUUGUUGAGCUAUGAUCUUUUGUGAGCUCACUCUUGCGAUAUAUAAACCCCCCAGGUGAAGAGCAGGUGGUCCAAGAGGCGCCCUAUAACGAGUUGAUCUAGGUGGUGUCUCCCAGUCAGCUUGAUGGCGCCAAGGAAUAAUUUUUAGUUUGUUUUAUUGUUAUCAUUUAUUUCUGUAAGACUUCCGCUAUGUAAUAACGAUACUUGUGACAUUUAUCUCUA
rnacentral:lncRNA from 1 species